GAUGAACGCUGGCGGCGUGCCUAAUACAUGCAAGUCGAGCGAACGGACGAGACUCUUGCUUCUCUGAUGUUAGCGGCGCACGGGUGAGCAACACGUGUAUAACCUACCUAUAAGACUGGGAUAACUUCGGGAAACCGGAGCUAAUACCGGAUAAUAUUUUGAUCCGCAUGGUUCAAUAGUGAAAGACGGUCUUUCUGUCACUUAUCGAUGGUUCCGCGCUGCAUUAUCUAGUUGUUAAGGUCACGGCUUACCAAGGCAACGAUGCGUAGCCGACCUGAGAGGGUGAUAGGCCACACGGGAGGGGAGACGGGGACAAGGCGCCUAAGAGAGGCAGCAGUAGGGAAUGUUCCGCAGUGGGCGAGAGCCUGACGGAGCGACGCCGCGUGAGUGAUGAAAGUGUUCGGAUCGUAAAGAUCUGUUAUUAGGGAAGAACAGAUGUGUAAGGAACUGUGCACAGAUUGACGGUACCUAAUCAGAAAGCCACGGCUAACUACGUG
rnacentral:rRNA from 1 species